GUUGUCGUCAGCUCGUGUCGUGAGAUGUUGGGUUAAGUCCCGCAACGAGCGCAACCCUUAAGCUUAGUUGCCAUCAUUAAGUUGGGCACUCUAAGUUGACUGCCGGUGACAAACCGGAGGAAGGUGGGGAUGACGUCAAAUCAUCAUGCCCCUUAUGAUUUGGGCUACACACGUGCUACAAUGGACAAUACAAAGGGCAGCGAAACCGCGAGGUCAAGCAAAUCC
rnacentral:rRNA from 1 species